ACACGGAGAAAUAAAGAACAGAUUCCAUUCCUUUAUUAAACAGCCUUUGUUUCAACUGGGUUUCGAGCAUUACAAUCAAUCACUACUACUCUACUCUAAUUUCAAUUUCCAAAUCUUUAAAUAAUUUUCAGCCGUCUCUUCUUUGCGAAAAAAGAAAAAGAAAAAAAGAAGAGGCAAAAACAGGAGUGUUUUCAGGAGGAUUUGGUUUUGGAGGCCAUCGCUGCUGUAAUUCCUUCUCACAAAUGGCUUUAGUGAAGCGUAAAAGAGAGUCAUCACCGUCACCAUCUUCUUCUUCAACACGUCAGCCAAAAUACGAUGCAUUUCUUAGUUCUAGGGGUGAGGAUACCCAUACUAAUUUUACUGACCAUCUAUAUGUUUGCUUUGAAAUGAAAGGGGAUUAUUACUUUUAGGGAUGAAGAAGAACUCAAGAAAGGAGAACAUAUAUCUAAGCUCUUCAAAGCAAUUGAAGAAUCAAAGUUCGCUAUCAUCGUUCUCUCAAAAAAAAUAUGCAUCUUUUACGUGUUGCUAGGAUAAGCUUGCCAAGAUUAUCAAAUGUAAGGAUGAAAUGGGACUAAAAGUUUUGCCAGUUUUUUUA